AUUGCAUUGAAGGGCUGCUGCCAGCCCAACCCUACACCGUGCACCCCAGUCCGCGCCACCGGCCACCGCGCGGCAUUGCGAGGCGGCAGGCGCAGACCGCCCGCGUUGAGGUCGCUGCUUGACCCGCGCGCCCCCACCGCGGAGCUAUUCGAGGCUCCGUCAGUGGGUUUCUAGGCUCGAGUCUCUUGGUCGCUGCUGGCCUGACACGGGGCACCCGUCCCAGGACGCCCACCACCUGCUCGUGCAAAUGCGCAGGACGGCCAGCCACCAAGGCACCGCCCGUUGAUCGUCCGCAAGAUUACUCAGGGAACCUAGAGCAGGACCCAGAGAGAGAAUUGGCAUUACGCGAAUUAAAGUCGUGGCUGGAGCUGCUCGUCUGCUGGGUUCAUGGUUCCCCGAGGGAAGUGUAGGAGUAUAUAGAUGCAGAUAUGCUUUCAAUGCCAUCCAAUUUACAGAUUCACAGGACAAAGAAAGGCAAUGCUCUGAAGUGUACACACAGAAUGACUCCCACUCGCGCUGAAGGCUAUGCAUCACUUCUGUCGUGAAGGUCAGAAUUACGAAGUGUCAGUUCAUCUUAUAGUUCGCUGAUUAGGCUACUAAUCAGUAAUUACUCAUUGCUUUGGAAAGGAAGCAUCGUGCCAUGCAUUUUCUCUAGGCCCUGCUCGAACUCAUAGGGUUGUCUCACAUGGCAAAAGCUAUUAUUCUGAUGAGCCCUUGCUAAGUGCCGACUUCACUACUCGAACUCUCUCAUCAUUUGAGUACCAGAAGCUAUCCUCUA